CGGCCGCGGUAUCCUGACCGUGCAAAGGUAGCAUAAUCAUUUGUUCCUUAAUUAGGGACUAGUAUGAAUGGCCACACGAGGGUUUAACUGUCUCUUAUUUCUAAUCAGUGAAAUUGACCUUCCCGUGAAGAGGCGGGAAUAAUAAAAUAAGACGAGAAGACCCUAUGGAGCUUAAAUUAUAACCUGGGAUAUAGAUUUCGGUUGGGGUGACCUCGGAGUAUAAAAUAACCUCCGAGCGAUUACCAAGAUUAACAGAUCGAAGUCAAUCCAAUUGAUCAACGAAACAAGUUACCCUAGGGAUAACAGCGCAAUCCUAUUCAAGAGUCCCUAUCGACAAUAGGGUUUACGACCUCGAUGUUGGAUCAGGACAUCCUAAUGGUGCAGCAGCU
rnacentral:rRNA from 1 species